rnacentral:rRNA from 1 species
UGCAAGUCGAGGGGUAUAGAGAGCUUGCUUUCUAGAGACCGGCGGAUGGGUGAGUAACGCGUAUGCAACCUACCUUUUACAGGGGAAUAGCCCGGAGAAAUUCGGAUUAAUGCUCCAUGGUUUAUAGAUGUGGCAUCACAUUUAUAAUAAAGAUUUAUCGGUAAAAGAUGGGCAUGCGUAUCAUUAGCUAGUUGGUGUGGUAACGGCAUACCAAGGCUACGAUGAUUAGGGGUCCUGAGAGGGAGAUCCCCCACACUGGUACUGAGACACGGACCAGACUCCUACGGGAGGCAGCAGUGAGGAAUAUUGGUCAAUGGAGGCAACUCUGAACCAGCCAUGCCGCGUGCAGGAUGACGGUCCUAUGGAUUGUAAACUGCUUUUGUACGGGAAGAAAUGUAAUUACGUGUAAUUAUUUGACGGUACCGUAAGAAUAAGGAUCGGCUAACUCCGUGCCAGCAGCCGCGGUAAUACGGAGGAUCCGAGCGUUAUCCGGAAUUAUUGGGUUUAAAGGGUUCGUAGGCGGUUUAGUAAGUCAGUGGUGAAAUCUUGCAGCUUAACUGUAAAAUUGCCGUUGAUACUGCUAAACUUGAAUAGUAUGGAAGUAAUUAGAAUAUGUAGUGUAGCGGUGAAAUGCUUAGAUAUUACAUGGAAUACCAAUUGCGAAGGCAGAUUACUACGUACUUAUUGACGCUGAUGAACGAAAGCGUGGGUAGCGAACAGGAUUAGAUACCCUGGUAGUCCACGCCGUAAACGAUGGAUACUAGCUGUUCGGUUUUCGGACUGAGUGGCU